CUCUAGGUAAGUGGUACAUGUAAAAGUAACAUGUCACAUGAACGCCAGGACCCAAGGAUUUCCAGCAUAACAUUGCCUUCAUCUUCCUUCUUCCAUAGUGAAUCUCUUCUCCAGGUAAAUGAUGCACACACACCUGAUCAUCCACCUUAUCUAAAAGAAAAUAUGACUCUUCAUACCAGGCAACCUUCUUCCAUUGCUCUGUGGUCCAGUUCUGAUGCUC